UAGGGAAUCUUCGGCAAUGGACGGAAGUCUGACCGAGCAACGCCGCGUGAGUGAAGAAGGUUUUCGGAUCGUAAAGCUCUGUUGUAAGAGAAGAACGAGUGUGAGAGUGGAAAGUUCACACUGUGACGGUAUCUUACCAGAAAGGGACGGCUAACUACGUGCCAGCAGCCGCGGUAAUACGUAGGUCCCGAGCGUUGUCCGGAUUUAUUGGGCGUAAAGCGAGCGCAGGCGGUUAGAUAAGUCUGAAGUUAAAGGCUGUGGCUUAACCAUAGUAAGCUUUGGAAACUGUUUAUCUUGAACUGUUAAGGGAGAGAGGAAAUACGGUAUAGCGGAAUUCGGUGUGUAUCGGUGAAAUGCCUAGAUCUAUGGAGGAACACCGGUGGCGAAAGCGGCUCUCUGGCUUGUAACUGACGCUGAGGCUCGAAAGCGUGGGGAGCAAACAGGAUUAGAUACCCUGGUAGUCCACGCUGUAAACGAUGAGUGCUAGGUGUUAGACCCUUUCCGGGGUUUAGUGCCGUAGCUAACGCAUUAAGCACUCCGCCUGGGGAGUACGACCGCAAGGUUG
rnacentral:rRNA from 1 species